AGAGUUUGAUCAUGGCUCAGAGCGAACGCUGGCGGCGUGCUUAACACAUGCAAGUCGAGUGCGCGGUUGUAGCAAUACAACUGGCGCACGGCGCACGGGUGCGUAACACGUGGGUACCUGCCCUUUGAUGGGGAAUAACCCCGCGAAAGCGGGGCUAAUACCGCAUAAGAUCCGCAAGGAUGAAAGCCGUAAGGCGUCGAAGGAGGGGCCUGCGCACGAUUAGCUUGUUGGUAGGGUAACGGCCUACCAAGGCUAUGAUCGUUAGCUGGUCUGAGAGGAUGGCCAGCCACACUGGAACUGAGACACGGUCCAGACUCCUACGGGAGGCAGCAGUGGGGAAUCUUGCACAAUGGGCGAAAGCCUGAUGCAGCGACGCCGCGUGGGGGAUGAAGCUUCUCGGAGUGUAAACCCCUUUCGACCCGGACGAAACCCCGCAAGGGAUUGACGGUACGGGUAUAAGAAGCCCCGGCUAACUACGUGCCAGCAGCCGCGGUAAGACGUGGGGGGCCAGCGUUGCUCGGAAUUACUGGGUGUAAAGGGUCAGUAGGCGGUGUGGCAAGUCGGUAGUGAAAUCUCUGGGCUUAACUCAGAGGCUGCUUCCGAAACUGCUGUGCUUGAGUAUGGGAGAGGCGCGUGGAAUUGCAGGUGUAGCGGUGAAAUGCGUAGAUAUCUGCAGGAACACCCGUGGCGAAAGCGGCGCGCUGGACCAUAACUGACGCUGAAUGACGAAAGCUAGGGGAGCAAACAGGAUUAGAUACCCUGGUAGUCCUAGCCCUAAACCAUCAGGACUUGGGGUGCCACCCGUUCGGGUGUCGUCCCGGAGCUAACGCGUUAAGUCCUGCACCUGGGGAGUACGGUCGCAAGACUGAAACUCAAGGAAUUGACGGGGGCCCGCACAAGCGGUGGAACAUGUGGUUCAAUUCGACGCUACGCGAGGAACCUUACCUGGGCUCGAAGCGCCACUUGACA
rnacentral:rRNA from 1 species